rnacentral:rRNA from 1 species
UACGUAGGGGGCAAGCGUUGUCCGGAUUUAUUGGGCGUAAAGAGCGUGUAGGCGGCCAGGUAGGUCCGUUGUGAAAACUGGAGGCUUAACCUCCAGCUGUCGAUGGAAACCAUCUGGCUAGAGUCCGGAAGAGGAGAGUGGAAUUCCUGGUGUAGCGGUGAAAUGCGCAGAUAUCAGGAAGAACACCCGUGGCGAAGGCGGCUCUCUGGGACGGUACUGACGCUGAGACGCGAAAGCGUGGGUAGCAAACAGG